AGAACGAACGCUGGCGGCAUGCCUAACACAUGCAAGUCGAACGAGACCUUCGGGUCUAGUGGCGCACGGGUGCGUAACGCGUGGGAAUCUGCCCUUAGGUACGGAAUAACUCGGGGAAACUCGUGCUAAUACCGUAUGAUGACGUAAGUCCAAAGAUUUAUCGCCUAGGGAUGAGCCCGCGUAGGAUUAGCUAGUUGGUGAGGUAAAGGCUCACCAAGGCGACGAUCCUUAGCUGGUCUGAGAGGAUGAUCAGCCACACUGGGACUGAGACACGGCCCAGACUCCUACGGGAGGCAGCAGUGGGGAAUAUUGGACAAUGGGCGAAAGCCUGAUCCAGCAAUGCCGCGUGAGUGAUGAAGGCCUUAGGGGUUGUAAAGCUCUUUUACCCGGGAAGAUAAUGACUGUACCGGGAGAAUAAGCCCCGGCUAACUCCGUGCCAGCAGCCGC
rnacentral:rRNA from 1 species